rnacentral:rRNA from 1 species
UGCGGUGAUGAUAGCGUCGGGGAACACCUCUUCCCAUUCCGAACAGAGAAGUUAAGACCGAUAGCGCCAAUGGUACUGCCAAACCGGUGGGAGAGUAGGUCGUCGCCCAAU